rnacentral:rRNA from 1 species
UGGAGAACUGAGGGGGGCUGCUCCUAGUACGAGAGGACCGGAGUGGACGCAUCACUGGUGUUCGGGUUGUCAUGCCAAUGGCACUGCCCGGUAGCUAAAUGCGGAAGAGAUAAGUGCUGAAAGCAUCUAAGCACGAAACUUGCCCCGAGAUGAGUUCUCCCUGACCCUUUAAGGGUCCUGAAGGAACGUUGAAGACGACGACGUUGAUAGGCCGGGUGUGUAAGCGCAGCGAUGCGUUGAGCUAACCGGUACUAAUGAACCGUGAGGCUUAACCUUACAACGCCGAAG